CCGAUUUCGGCAGUUCCGCCCCCUCGCAUUCCACACCGAUUUUGGCAGUUCCGCCCCCUCGCAUUCCACAACGGUAGAUCGCUGUUUGGUGCUAUCCAUCUUGGAAGAAGCUAAGCAGGAACAUGUAGGAAAAGCAGGAAUGUGCAGGAAAAGCAAAAGUUCAACCUCCUAACGUGACUAUUGAUGAAAAAGUCUUAUCUAUCACCGCCUCCAACCGAUCGUGAUGCUCAUGGACCAUUUUGCUAGCUUAAUUGGCGAAUGUGGUGCUAAACUCAGUUUGAUUCCUAUGAUUUUCUACACAGGGC